CUGUGAUCAGGUUCCUCCUUCUAAUCCACCAACUUAGUGUUGAUGAAGACUAAACAGAGAGAUCACAGCCUUCUUUAUACUUGCUGUAGCUCAGAGUUACUCCACACUGCAGAUAUGAAGCCUCUGUUCAUCUCAGUGUUGCUGGCUGCUAUGAGCCUUGAAUGCAGAGCUCAAAAAGACAACGUGCUGCAACCAAAAGGAGAUGUGACUGCUACUGAAGGAGAGGCAGUAACACUUGGCUGUCAAUAUAACAGCAGUGCAACGAAUUCAAAUCUCUUUUGGUACAAACAGGAUGGAAACAACAGCCCUAAAUUCAUUCUGAGCCGCUUUACGUUUGGCUCUGGGAAAACAGUUGACGAGGAGAAAUUUUCAUCCACACUGAAUUCCAGCUUAAGAUCAGUUCCUCUGAAGAUCCAGAAGCUUCAGCUGUCUGACUCUGCUGUGUACUACUGUGCUCUGCAGCCCACAGUAACAGGAAAC